rnacentral:rRNA from 1 species
UACGAGGGGGGCAAGCGUUGUUCGGAAUUAUUGGGCGUAAAGGGUGCGUAGGCGGUGCGGUAAGUCUGUUGUGAAAUCUCCGGGCUCAACUCGGAGUCUGCAUCAGAAACUGCCGUGCUGGAGUGUGGGAGAGGUGAGUGGAAUUCCCGGUGUAGCGGUGAAAUGCGUAGAGAUCGGAAGGAACACCAGUGGCGAAAGCGGCUUCCUGGUCCGACACCGACGUUCAGGCACGAAAGCGUGGGGAGCAAACAGG